UCGGGGAUUUGAUGAAAGUUCUUGGCCACUCCAAACUAAAACCGGCAGCUUCUAGAAAUAGCUCAAGUUCCUGAUGAACAUGUGAAUGAAUUCAAGUUGAUAGAGAAGUUCAAAAUUUUCAAUCCCAACAACUUAUGGGUGAACUUGAAAGCAAUCAAAAGACUUGUACAAGAAAGUGCACUGAAGAUGUAGAUUAUUCCAAAUCCAAAGGAAGUAGAUGGGGUGAAAGUUCUUCAACUUGAAACUGCUACUGGCGCUA